rnacentral:rRNA from 1 species
GACGAACGCUGGCGGCGUGCUUAACACAUGCAAGUCGAGCGGAAAGGCCCUUCGGGGUACUCGAGCGGCGAACGGGUGAGUAACACGUGAGUAACCUGCCCCAGACUUUGGGAUAACCCUCGGAAACGGGGGCUAAUACCGGAUACGACACAGCUUCGCAUGGGGUCUGUGUGGAAAGUUUUUCGGUUUGGGAUGGGCUCGCGGCCUAUCAGCUUGUUGGUGGGGUGAUGGCCUACCAAGGCGACGACGGGUAGCCGGCCUGAGAGGGCGACCGGGCACACUGGGACUGAAACACGGGCCAGAAUCCUUCCGGGGGGAGGCGUGGGGAAUAAUGGAAAAUGGGCGGGAGCCUUAUGCAGGGACGGCGGGGUGGGGAAGGAGGGCUUUGGGGUGUAAACCUUCUUCAGCAGGGACCGAGGCGAAGGUGCCGUACCUGGAAGAGAAGGGCCGGCCAAAUACGUU